GCCUAACACAUGCAAGUCGAGCGGAAACGAGUUAACUGAACCUUCGGGGGACGUUAACGGCGUCGAGCGGCGGACGGGUGAGUAAUGCCUAGGAAAUUGCCCUGAUGUGGGGGAUAACCAUUGGAAACGAUGGCUAAUACCGCAUGAUGCCUACGGGCCAAAGAGGGGGACCUUCGGGCCUCUCGCGUCAGGAUAUGCCUAGGUGGGAUUAGCUAGUUGGUGAGGUAAGGGCUCACCAAGGCGACGAUCCCUAGCUGGUCUGAGAGGAUGAUCAGCCACACUGGAACUGAGACACGGUCCAGACUCCUACGGGAGGCAGCAGUGGGGAAUAUUGCACAAUGGGCGCAAGCCUGAUGCAGCCAUGCCGCGUGUGUGAAGAAGGCCUUCGGGUUGUAAAGCACUUUCAGUCGUGAGGAAGGUAGUGUAGUUAAUAGCUGCAUUAUUUGACGUUAGCGACAGAAGAAGCACCGGCUAACUCCGUGCCAGCAGCCGCGGUAAUACGGAGGGUGCGAGCGUUAAUCGGAAUUACUGGGCGUAAAGCGCAUGCAGGUGGUUUGUUAAGUCAGAUGUGAAAGCCCGGGGCUCAACCUCGGAAUAGCAUUUGAAACUGGCAGACUAGAGUACUGUAGAGGGGGGUAGAAUUUCAGGUGUAGCGGUGAAAUGCGUAGAGAUCUGAAGGAAUACCGGUGGCGAAGGCGGCCCCCUGGACAGAUACUGACACUCAGAUGCGAAAGCGUGGGGAGCAAACAGGAUUAGAUACCCUGGUAGUCCACGCCGUAAACGAUGUCUACUUGGAGGUUGUGGCCUUGAGCCGUGGCUUUCGGAGCUAACGCGUUAAGUAGACCGCCUGGGGAGUACGGUCGCAAGAUUAAAACUCAAAUGAAUUGACGGGGGCCCGCACAAGCGGUGGAGCAUGUGGUUUAAUUCGAUGCAACGCGAAGAACCUUACCUACUCUUGACAUCCAGAGAACUUUCCAGAGAUGGAUUGGUGCCUUCGGGAACUCUGAGACAGGUGCUGCAUGGCUGUCGUCAGCUCGUGUUGUGAAAUGUUGGGUUAAGUCCCGCAACGAGCGCAACCCUUAUCCUUGUUUGCCAGCGAGUAAUGUCGGGAACUCCAGGGAGACUGCCGGUGAUAAACCGGAGGAAGGUGGGGACGACGUCAAGUCAUCAUGGCCCUUACGAGUAGGGCUACACACGUGCUACAAUGGCGCAUACAGAGGGCGGCCAACUUGCGAAAGUGAGCGAAUCCCAAAAAGUGCGUCGUAGUCCGGAUUGGAGUCUGCAACUCGACUCCAUGAAGUCGGAAUCGCUAGUAAUCGUGGAUCAGAAUGCCACGGUGAAUACGUUCCCGGGCCUUGUACACACCGCCCGUCACACCAUGGGAGUGGGCUGCAAAAGAAGUAGGUAGUUUAACCUUCGGGGGGACGCUUACCACUUUGUGGUUCAUGACUGGGGUGAAGUCGUAACA
rnacentral:rRNA from 1 species